GUGCCCAACUCUUGGGCAUGCAGAGAAGAAGCAUCCAACUACUUGGGUGCAUGCAAGAAAGAGGACGAGAGGUUUUUGGGGUGUGAGGCUUUUGUGCACUAGGGAGAAUUCCCUUCCACACCAACAUGUUGAACCACUUUAGGGCAUGAACCUCUUCUCAAGAGGUGCGUGAAACACUCUAAGGCAUGAACCUCUUCUCAAGAGGCAUGUGAAACACUCUAGGGCAUGGGAUAGUCCAAAGGGAGAAGGACUCUUAGGCGCUGGUUUCUUUU
rnacentral:lncRNA from 1 species